rnacentral:lncRNA from 1 species
CCUCCUCUUCUGGUUUGACUUCUUCCUGAUAAGGAUCAACUUCAAUUCAAAUGUAACUUGAAUUUGAAUUGAUCCUUAUCAGGUUAGGGCAUUGGAAUAGAUUGAAAUGAUGUUUGGGUGACAUUAAAAGAGGCAGAGAUGUGGGGCGUGCGAGAGAUGAGAUCUAGCUUGAGCUCCUUAUCAGCUUCUUCCAUCUCCAUGCCAACUUCCUUCUUCUCCAUGCCCUACCAUCUCCUUCUGCUCAGAUUAGAUCAGAGUGAGAAAAUUUAGAGAGAGAAGAAGAGAAGAAAAAAGAUUUUCUUCUCUUUCAGGUAUCCUAGUGAAGAUCUCAUCAGUUCAGCACGAAGAGUUUGUGCUGCAGCCUUCUUCUUCGAGAUCUAAAAGAAGAAGUCCAAAUCUAAAUUUAGAAGUGAGGCCUGCAAGGUACUAGUACUCCAGUGGCUUCAGUGCUUCAAUCAGAUCAUCUCAAUGUGAUAUCAGUAAAGGUCGGACACUUUCGCGGCUCCAACAGAAACUUCGGACAUCC